AUUGAACGCUGGCGGCAGGCCUAACACAUGCAAGUCGAACGAGUGGCGGACGGGUGAGUAAUGUCUGGGAAACUGCCUGAUGGAGGGGGAUAACUACUGGAAACGGUAGCUAAUACCGCAUACCAUCGGAUGUGCCCAGAUGGGAUUAGCUAGUAGGUGGGGUAAAGGCUCACCUAGGCGACGAUCCCUAGCUGGUGUGAGCGGGUGACCCGAGACAUGGGAACUGGGACACGGUCCAGAAUCCUACGGGAGGCAGCAGGGGGGAAUAUUGCACAAUGAGCGAAGGCCUGAUGCAGCCAUGCGGCGUGUAUAAAGAAGGCCUUCGGGUUGUAAGGUACUUUCAGCGGGGAGGCGUUACCCGCAGAAGAAGCACCGGCUAACUCCGUGCCAGCAGCCGCGGUAAGAC
rnacentral:rRNA from 1 species